rnacentral:tRNA from 1 species
ACCUGGGUGGCUCAGUUGGUUAGGUGUCUGACUUCGGCUCAGGUCAUGAUCUCACAGUUUGUGGGUUCGAGCCCCACAUCAGGCU